rnacentral:rRNA from 1 species
ACGAACGCUGGCGGCGUGCUUAACACAUGCAAGUCGAACGGAAAGGCCCUGCUUUUGUGGGGUGCUCGAGUGGCGAACGGGUGAGUAACACGUGAGUAACCUGCCCUUGACCUUGGGAUAACUUCAGGAAACUGGGGCUAAUACCGGAUAGGAGCUCCUGCUGCAUGGUGGGGGUUGGAAAGUUUCGGCGGUUGGGGAUGGACUCGCGGCUUAUCAGCUUGUUGGUGGGGUAGUGGCUUACCAAGGCUUUGACGGGUAGCCGGCCUGAGAGGGUGACCGGCCACAUUGGGACUGAGAUACGGCCCAGACUCCUACGGGAGGCAGCAGUGGGGAAUAUUGCACAAUGGGCGGAAGCCUGAUGCAGCAACGCCGCGUGCGGGAUGACGGCCUUCGGGUUGUAAACCGCUUUCGCCUGUGACGAAGCGUGAGUGACGGUAAUGGGUAAAGAAGCACCGGCUAACUACGUGCCAGCAGCCGCGGUGAUACGUAGGGUGCGAGCGUUGUCCGGAUUUAUUGGGCGUAAAGGGCUCGUAGGUGGUUGAUCGCGUCGGAAGUGUAAUCUUGGGGCUUAACCCUGAGCGUGCUUUCGAUACGGGUUGACUUGAGGAAGGUAGGGGAGAAUGGAAUUCCUGGUGGAGCGGUGGAAUGCGCAGAUAUCAGGAGGAACACCAGUGGCGAAGGCGGUUCUCUGGGCCUUUCCUGACGCUGAGGAGCGAAAGCGUGGGGAGCGAACAGGCUUAGAUACCCUGGUAGUCCACGCUGUAAACGGUGGGUACUAGGUGUGGGGUCCAUUCCACGGGUUCCGUGCCGUAGCUAACGCUUUAAGUACCCCGCCUGGGGAGUACGGCCGCAAGGCUAAAACUCAAAGGAAUUGACGGGGCCCCGCACAAGCGGCGGAGCAUGCGGAUUAAUUCGAUGCAACGCGUAGAACCUUACCUGGGUUUGACAUGGAUCGGGAGUGCUCAGAGAUGGGUGUGCCUCUUUUGGGGUCGGUUCACAGGUGGUGCAUGGCUGUCGUCAGCUCGUGUCGUGAGAUGUUGGGUUAAGUCCCGCAACGAGCGCAACCCUUGUUCACUGUUGCCAGCACGUUAUGGUGGGGACUCAGUGGAGACCGCCGGGGUCAACUCGGAGGAAGGUGGGGAUGACGUCAAGUCAUCAUGCCCCUUAUGUCCAGGGCUUCACGCAUGCUACAAUGGCUGGUACAGAGAGUGGCGAGCCUGUGAGGGUGAGCGAAUCUCGGAAAGCCGGUCUCAGUUCGGAUUGGGGUCUGCAACUCGACCUCAUGAAGUCGGAGUCGCUAGUAAUCGCAGAUCAGCAACGCUGCGGUGAAUACGUUCCCGGGGCUUGUACACACCGCCCGUCAAGUCAUGAAAGUUGGUAACACCCGAAGCCGGUGGCCUAACCGUUGUGGGGGAGCCGUCGAAGGUGGGACUGGUGAUUAGG